rnacentral:sRNA from 1 species
CUGACAGCCUCAGGGAUUCAGACCUUCAUUUAUCCACAGAACAAGUAGAGCAUGGGCUCAGACAGUGCAAGCGUCCCAUACUACCCUGCCAAUGUGGAUCAACCUUGACUUACAGGACCUGAGCUAAAUUUUGCACUGUUUCAUACCAUGUGUCAUUUACU